rnacentral:rRNA from 1 species
GACGAACGCUGGCGGCGUGCUUAACACAUGCAAGUCGAACGGAAAGGCCCUGCCUUUGUGGGGUGCUCGAGUGGCGAACGGGUGAGUAACACGUGAGUAACCUGCCCUUGACUUUGGGAUAACUUCAGGAAACUGGGGCUAAUACCGGAUAGGAGCUCCUGCUGCAUGGUGGGGAUUGGAAAGUUUCGGCGGUUGGGGAUGGACUCGCGGCUUAUCAGCUUGUUGGUGGGGUAGUGGCUUACCAAGGCUUUGACGGGUAGCCGGCCUGAGAGGGUGACCGGCCACAUUGGGACUGAGAUACGGCCCAGACUCCUACGGGAGGCAGCAGUGGGGAAUAUUGCACAAUGGGCGGAAGCCUGAUGCAGCAACGCCGCGUGCGGGAUGACGGCCUUCGGGUUGUAAACCGCUUUCGCCUGUGACGAAGCGUGAGUGACGGUAAUGGGUAAAGAAGCACCGGCUAACUACGUG